UCCACCGUGAGGUGGAAUCUGAAGGAAGUCUGAGGCAAAACCUCGAUCCGACGAACAGAAACUACAUACAAGGCCGCAAGUGUUGGGUGAGGCUGCAAAACAAGCCGAAGCCCUAAACUGUACGGAAACACUAUGGUAAAUGUAGCGGAUAUAUGAGGUGAAAGUUAUUGUU
rfam:Leadbetterella byssophila DSM 17132, complete genome.